rnacentral:rRNA from 1 species
GCUGGCGGCGCGCCUAACACAUGCAAGUCGAACGAGAAAGGGGAGCAAUCCCUGAGUACAGUGGCGUACGGGUGAGUAACACGUGGGUAAUCUGCCCUUUGGUGGGGAAUAACCCUGGGAAACCGGGGCUAAUACCGCAUAAGUCCGAGAGGAGAAAGCAGCAAUGCGCCGAAGGAGGAGCCCGCGGCCGAUUAGCUAGUUGGUAGGGUAAAAGCCUACCAAGGCAAAGAUCGGUAGCCGGCCUGAGAGGGCACACGGCCACACUGGCACUGAAACACGGGCCAGACUCCUACGGGAGGCAGCAGUGGGGAAUCUUGCACAAUGGGGGAAACCCUGAUGCAGCGACGCCGCGUGAGCGAUGAAGCCCUUCGGGGUGUAAAGCUCUUUCGGCAGGGAAGAUGAUGACGGUACCUGCAGAAGCAGCUGCGGCUAACUACGUGCCAGCAGCCGCGGUAAUACGUAGGCAGCAAGCGUUGUUCGGAGUUACUGGGCGUAAAGGGUGUGUANGCGGUUUGGUAAGUCUGGUGUGAAAUCUCCCGGCUCAACUGGGA